rnacentral:rRNA from 1 species
GACGAACGCUGGCGGCGUGCUUAACACAUGCAAGUCGAACGGAAAGGCCCUGCUUUUGUGGGGUGCUCGAGUGGCGAACGGGUGAGUAACACGUGAGUAACCUUCCCUUGACUUUGGGAUAACUUCAGGAAACUGGGGCUAAUACCGGAUAGGAGCUCCUGCUGCAUGGUGGGGGUUGGAAAGUUUCGGCGGUUGGGGAUGGACUCGCGGCUUAUCAUCUUGUUGGUGGGGUAGUGGCUUACCAAGGCUUUGACGGGUAGCCGGCCUGAGAGGGUGACCGGCCACAUUGGGACUGAGAUACGGCCCAGACUCCUACGGGAGGCAGCAGUGGGGAAUAUUGCACAAUGGGCGGAAGCCUGAUGCAGCAACGCCGCGUGCGGGAUGACGGCCUUCGGGUUGUAAACCGCUUUCGCCUGUGACGAAGCGUGAGUGACGGUAAUGGGUAAAGAAGCACCGGCUAACUACGUG